AACGAACGCUGGCGGCAGGCCUAACACAUGCAAGUCGAGCGCCCCGCAAGGGGAGCGGCGGACGGGUGAGUAACGCGUGGGAACGUACCCUUUGCUACGGAAUAGCCUCGGGAAACUGGGAGUAAUACCGUAUGUGCCCUUCGGGGGAAAGAUUUAUCGGCAAAGGAUCGGCCCGCGUUGGAUUAGGUAGUUGGUGGGUAAUGGCCUACCAAGCCGACGAUCCAUAGCUGGUUUGAGAGGAUGAUCAGCCACACUGGGACUGAGACACGGCCCAGACUCCUACGGGAGGCAGCAGUGGGGAAUCUUAGACAAUGGGCGCAAGCCUGAUCUAGCCAUGCCGCGUGAGCGAUGAAGGCCUUAGGGUUGUAAAGCUCUUUCAGUGGGGAAGAUAAUGACUGUACCCACAGAAGAAGCCCCGGCUAACUCCGUGCCAGCAGCCGCG
rnacentral:rRNA from 1 species